GGCGGUGUGGCAUAGUGGUUUGAGUGCUGGACUACGACUCUGUAAACCAGGGUUUGAUUCCCAGCUCAGUCA